rnacentral:misc_RNA from 1 species
UGUUUAGCUAUUCUUCAGCAGAUUAUAUAUUGAAGGUUGAACGGUGUUUGAAUGAUGAAAGAGGAAGGUUGAGUCAGUACCUGUAUCCUUCCUCUGUAGAGAAGCUACUUCAGGUUGUGCAUCUGAAGUUGAGUGGUGAAACUAGAAGCCAGCUGAUUGAAAAACAGAAGGCUGAGAACCUUAAUUCAACAAAAUAUCAGGAAUUAUUGUCCAGAUGUUCCAAUUUAAGCAUUGGGUAAAGAAGUGACAUUUUUUUACCAGCAUUAUAGUGUCAGUACCCCAGGAAAGGGAACAGAAAACACUAACAAAAAG